CAGCCGUAAACUAUGCGCGUUAGGUGUAUCGGUGACCACGAGUCACCGAGGUGCCGAAGGGAAACCGUGAAACGUGCCGCCUGGGAAGUACGGUCGCAAGGCUGAAACUUAAAGGAAUUGGCGGGGGAGCACCACAACAGGUGGAGCCUGCGGUUUAAUUGGACUCAACGCCGGGAAGCUCACCGGAUAGGACAGCAGAAUGAUUGCCGGGCUGAAGACCCUGCAUGACUAGCUGAGAGGUGGUGCAUGGCGUCAGUGACU
rnacentral:rRNA from 1 species